GAAUGAAGCAAGCGUGGUAAUAUGCAUAGAAAUUGAUUUGAGUCUCUAGGCCUACCCUCUUUGAUGCCUUUUGGCUUUGAUUUGGGGGCAUAGUUCCGCAUCAAAACG